GACGAACGCUGGCGGCGUGCUUAACACAUGCAAGUCGAACGGAAAGGCCUUUUCGGAGGUACUCGAGUGGCGCACGGGUGAGUAACACGUGGGUGAUCUGCCCUGCACUCUGGGAUAAGCCUGGGAAACUGGGUCUAAUACCGGAUAGGACCGCACUUUAGUGUGUGUGGUGGAAAGUUUUUUCGGUGUAAGAUGAGCCCGCGGCCUAUCAGCUUGUUGGUGGGGUAAUGGCCUACCAAGGCGGCGACGGGUAGCCGGACUGAGAGGUUGGUCGGCCACAUUGGGACUGAGAUACGGCCCAGACUCCUACGGGAGGCAGCAGUGGGGAAUAUUGCACAAUGGGCGCAAGCCUGAUGCAGCGACGCCGCGUGGGGGAUGACGGCCUUCGGGUUGUAAACUCCUUUCGCCAGGGACGAAGCGUUUUGUGACGGUACCUGGAGAAGAAGCACCGGCUAACUACGUG
rnacentral:rRNA from 1 species